CAGUAGCCGCGGUAAUACGUAGGGGGCAAGCGUUGUCCGGAAUUAUUGGGCGUAAAGCGCGCGCAGGCGGUCAUUUAAGUCUGGUGUUUAAUCCCGGGGCUCAACCCCGGAUCGCACUGGAAACUGGGUGACUUGAGUGCAGAAGAGGAGAGUGGAAUUCCACGUGUAGCGGUGAAAUGCGUAGAUAUGUGGAGGAACACCAGUGGCGAAGGCGACUCUCUGGGCUGUAACUGACGCUGAGGCGCGAAAGCGUGGGGAGCAAACAGGAUUAGAGACCCCUGUAGUCCCUGUCUCUUAUACA
rnacentral:rRNA from 1 species